CCUACGGGUGGCAGCAGUGGGGAAUAUUGCACAAUGGGCGAAAGCCUGAUGCAGCCAUGCCGCGUGAGCGAUGAAGGCCUUCGGGUCGUAAAGCUCUGUCCUCAAGGAAGAUAAUGACGGUACUUGUGAAGGAAGCCCCGGCUAACUACGUGCCAGCAGCCGCGGAAAUACGUAGGGGGCUAGCGUUAUCCGGAAUUACUGGGCGUAAAGGGUGCGUAGGUGGUUUCUUAAGUACGUGGUGAAAGGCUACGGCUCAACCGUAGUAAGCCUUUGAAACUGGGGAACUUGAGUGCAGGAGAGGAGGGUGGAAUUCCUGGUGUAGCGGUGAAAUGCGUAGAGAUUAGGAGGAACACCAGUGGCGAAGGCGGCUCUCUGGACUGUAACUGACGCUGAGGCACGAAAGCGUGGGGAGCAAACAGGAUUAGAUACCCGGGUAGUC
rnacentral:rRNA from 1 species